AUCCAGUUGCCGAGUCCCAAAUAGAAUGAAACGCGUGUUCUGGAU
rfam:Schistosoma margrebowiei strain Zambia genome assembly, scaffold: SMRZ_contig0000274